UUCGGUGGGGAUUAGUGGCGAACGGGUGAGUAACACGUGGGCAAUCUGCCCCUCACUUCGGGACAAGCCCUGGAAACGGGGUCUAAUACCGGAUGAUACCUCCACUCGCAUGGGUGGGGGUUGAAAGCUCCGGCGGUGAGGGAUGAGCCCGCGGCCUAUCAGCUAGUUGGUGAGGUAACGGCUCACCAAGGCGACGACGGGUAGCCGGCCUGAGAGGGCGACCGGCCACACUGGGACUGAGACACGGCCCAGACUCCUACGGGAGGCAGCAGUGGGGAAUAUUGCACAAUGGGCGCAAGCCUGA
rnacentral:rRNA from 1 species